ACUACGGGUGGCAGCAGUGGGGGAUAUUGCACAAUGGGGGGAACCCUGAUGCAGCGACGCCGCGUGGGUGAAGAAGCGCCUCGGCGCGUAAAGCCCUGUCAGCAGGGAAGAAAAUGACGGUACCUGAAGAAGAAGCCCCGGCUAACUACGUGCCAGCAGCCGCGGUAAUACGUAGGGGGCAAGCGUUAUCCGGAUUUACUGGGUGUAAAGGGGGCGCAGACGGCGAUGCAAGCCAGGAGUGAAAGCCCGGGGCCCAACCCCAGGACUGCUAUUGGAACUGCGUGGCUGGAGUGCAGGAGGGGCAGGCGGAAUUCCUGGUGUAGCGGUGAAAUGCGUAGAUAUCAGGAGGAACACCGGUGGCGAAGGCGGCCUGCUGGACUGCAACUGACGUUGAGGCCCGAAAGCGUGGGGAGCAAACAGGAUUAGAUACCCCGGUAGUC
rnacentral:rRNA from 1 species